AAUCAACGCUGGCGGCGUGCCUAACACAUGCAAGUCGAACGCGAAAGCCCCUUCGGGGGUAAGUAGAGUGGCGUCCGGGUGAGUAACACGUAGGUAAUCUACCUUCGGGUGGGGAAUAACUCGCCGAAAGGCGAGCUAAUACCGCAUAAUGCAGCGGCACCUAAUGGUGAUUAGUUGUUAAAGCGGGGGAUCGUAAGACCUCGCGCCUGAAGAGGAGCCUGCGGCAGAUUAGCUAGUGGUGAGGUAAUGGCUCACCAAGGCUUCGAUCUGUAGCUGGUCUGAGAGGACGGCCAGCCACACUGGCACUGACACACGGGCCAGACUCCUACGGGAGGCAGCA
rnacentral:rRNA from 1 species